rnacentral:rRNA from 1 species
GUGUCAGCAGCCGCGGUAAUACAGAGGUCCCAAGCGUUGUUCGGAUUCACUGGGCGUAAAGGGUGCGUAGGUGGUGAGGUAAGUCGGAUGUGAAAUCUCUAGGCUCAACCUAGAAACUGCAUUGGAAACUGCCUUGCUUGAGGAUUUGAGGGGGGAUUGGAAUACUUGGUGUAGCAGUGAAAUGCGUAGAUAUCAAGUGGAACACCAGUGGCGAAGGCGAAUCCCUGGAAAAUACCUGACACUGAGGCACGAAAGCUAGGGGAGCAAACAGGAUUAGAUACCCCUGUAGUCC